GACGAACGCUGGCGGCGUGCUUAACACAUGCAAGUCGAACGAUGAAGCUAGAGCUUGCUCUGGUGGAUUAGUGGCGAACGGGUGAGUAACACGUGAGUAACCUGCCCUUGACUCUGGGAUAACUGCGGGAAACUGUAGCUAAUACCGGAUACGACCCUCGGAGGCAUCUCCUGGGGGUGGAAAGAAUUUCGGUCAAGGAUGGACUCGCGGCCUAUCAGCUAGUUGGUGAGGUAAAGGCUCACCAAGGCGACGACGGGUAGCCGGCCGGAGAGGGUGACCGGCCACACUGGGACUGGGACACGGCCCAGACUCCUACGGGAGGCAGCAGUGGGGAAUAUUGCACAAUGGGCGCAAGCCUGAUGCAGCAACGCCGCGUGAGGGACGAAGGCCUUCGGGUUGUAAACCUCUUUUAGCAGGGAAGAAGCGAAAGUGACGGUACCUGCAGAAAAAGCACCGGCUAACUACGUGCCAGCAGCCGCCGUAA
rnacentral:rRNA from 1 species